rnacentral:rRNA from 1 species
UACGUAGGGUGCGAGCGUUAAUCGGAAUUACUGGGCGUAAAGCGUGCGCAGGCGGUUUGUUAAGACAGAUGUGAAAUCCCCGGGCUUAACCUGGGAACUGCAUUUGUGACUGGCAAGCUAGAGUAUGGCAGAGGGGGGUAGAAUUCCACGUGUAGCAGUGAAAUGCGUAGAGAUGUGGAGGAAUACCGAUGGCGAAGGCAGCCCCCUGGGCCAAUACUGACGCUCAUGCACGAAAGCGUGGGGAGCAAACGAGGAUUAGAGUA